rnacentral:lncRNA from 1 species
ACCUCCACCUCUCACUUCCCUACUUCUUUAAAAGACCAAGCAAGAGGCUGUGUAUGUAUAAAAUUUUGCUCGCCCAUCCUUUCCAUGAAACAUUUGUGAUUUAAGCUUUAAGAAUCUUUGUGGGAUGAUUCUCCCCUCUUCCCAUUGCAAUAGACUUCUUAAUAAAAUGUUUUCAAGUUCCUGUCCAGAUUGGAUGACUUACUAUAGUGGUAAUGGUGCCAUGAUUUGAACAAAAUUCUGGCUGCCCCUCAACUGUUGUUUUUCUUCAACUUGCUGUGAUUGGACAGUAUGCUGACUUCCAGCCUGCUCUCUUCAGGCAAGUGGUGGUGCUGUCUCGUUAAACUCUUUGAAACCUGACUUGGAAAGCAAAAUCAAAAAUGGUGAGUACCCUCCCAAUUCCAAUAACCCAGUAUUAUACACAUUUUUUUUUUUUUGGUAUCUCUCUAAGUCUACUUGUUUUUUCCUCAAUUUCAUCGUUUUCUACUAUUUCUCUAAAUCCUUCUACAUUUUUUUAAAACAUAUGAUUAAACUUCAUGAAUCCUUCUGAGGAAACCAUACUUCAGUUUCAGGUCCACGGCUCCUAGCACUGGCAGGCAUUUCUUUCACUGUCUAGGUAAACUUUCAAUCAUCUCUUACCCCACACAUCCCGGACUUUGGGCACAUGCUCUUGAGAGAACUUGGCAUCUUCCUAAACUGUCUCAUUCUGUGAGACUUCUUGAUUUCAUACCUCUGAGAUCUCAUCCGAGUAGCACACAGCCUUUCCUCCAUCCACUUACUUUUUGCAGAUGCAAAGCAUGUUAUUCCUUUAAAAAGUUUUUCAGAGGCAGCAUCAGAGACCAUCUUUCUUCCCCAGUGUCUCUUAUCCUAAGACAUUCCCAUAACCUAUUCUAACUCCAAUCUUUCUACCCUCCUCAGUCUUUACUUACGUGACGUGAGUCCUUCAAUCUCCUCAACUUCUACACCCCUACCCACUCUACUCCUUUGCCUCCAAUUUUCAGAUCUCACUUUGUCAUUUAAUUUCUUAUGCUUUCUUGUAAUUCUCUCUUACGUUACUGAUGACUCUGCGUGAGUUUAGGGACACCAGUACACUAAUAAUAACAGUAUCAGACCAAAAAGUCUAAAUAACAGCAAACUAAAUGUUUAUCCACAAGAACAGGCCUGACAGACACCAGAUAAUAGCCACGGUCUCUCCUCUCGCCUCCCUUGCUUGCUUUAGCCCACAGGCUUUACAGAAUUAUAUAUCAGGUCAAAGGUCAACAUAAAGCUGUACUACAGCAAUAAUAAUGAAAAAGCUUCAGCUUUUAUAUCAAGCUUCGAUUUACCCCUCUUCCAAAACCAUAAUCUUCGUAAAAA